AGGUGUUCAGAGAAAGUGUGGGAAAACCCAUAUUUCUGCAUUGUCAUUCGAACACAGAAAACACAGGAGGAAAAUGAGCUGUCACUCCAAUUCCCAUGAUGCCUUGCUGCUUAGCAUAACUCUACAGUGCGGCCCUGGGUCCACUGGUCCAUACUCUGACAGAUAAUUAAGAAAGCAGCAGCUUUUUCUAGACGGCUCUUCCUCAUGAUUUGCAUUUUAGCCAGAGGCGACCAGUUAUAAAAAAAACAUGAUGGAAAGAUGGUAAGAAGCCAAUUAGAUGGAUGGAUGGCUGACUGACAGCUCUCUGGUAUCACGACUCCAGAUUUCAGACUACAUAGCCUGGCAGUUUUCUACAAGAACCAACUUUUUUGCAGAAUGAACAGAUGUCUUUCAACAAGGAAUAUUAAGAAAAUCAUAUUUGAUGUUGGAAAUAAUAUCUCUUCAUGGAGCAUCAGAAAAGGAUAGGUAAAUCCUCACAAUUUAUUUGUUAUUUAGAUGUUAUUUUUGUUUAAAUAAAUAACCAAGCAUCAAAAUUAAUCUUGAUUAUAUAAAUUCAUACCAUCUCCAUCAUCCAACUUUUCAUUUUCCUGAGAUUUAUUUUAGCUGUAAAACAUUAUCAAA
rnacentral:lncRNA from 1 species